rnacentral:rRNA from 1 species
AGAGUUUGAUCCUGGCUCAGAAUAAACGCUGGCGGCGUGCCUAACACAUGCAAGUCGAGCGAGAAAGUUCCUUCGGGAGCAAGUAAAGCGGCGGACGGGUGAGUAACGCGUGAGAAUUUACCCUUUAGUGAGGAAUACCUCUGAGAAAUCAGGGCUAAUACUGCAUAAGUCCCUACGGGGAGAAAGGUGGCCUAUUUGCUGCCGCUAAAGGAUAAGCUUGCGGGCUAUUAGCUAGUUGGUGAGGUAAAGGCUCACCAAGGCGAUGAUGGCUAGCCGGCCUGAGAGGGUGUACGGCCACACUGGAACUUAGACACGGUCCAGACUCCUACGGGAGGCAGCAGUGAGGAAUAUUGCGCAAUGGGCGAAAGCCUGACGCAGCGACGCCGCGUGGAGGAUGAAGGUCUUCGGAUUGUAAACUUCUGUUAAGUGGGAAGGAAGAUUUAUCCCUAAUAUGGAUAAAGGAUGACGGUACCAUUAGAGAAAGCACCGGCUAACUUCGUG